GUUGAACGCUGGCGGCGUGCUUAACACAUGCAAGUCGAACGCGAAAGGGACUUCGGUCCUGAGUAAAGUGGCGCACGGGUGAGUAACGCGUAGAUAACCUGUCUUCAUGUCUGGAAUAAUACGCCGAAAGGGGUACUAAUACCGGAUACUCUUGCUUUAUAUAAGUUUUGCAAGCAAAGGUGGCCUCUGUAUAUGCUACUGCAUGAAGAGGGGUCUGCGUACCAUUAGCUAGUAGGUGGGGUAAUGGCCUACCUAGGCGACGAUGGUUAGCGGGUCUGAGAGGAUGAUCCGCCACACUGGCACUGGAACACGGGCCAGACUCCUACGGGAGGCAGCAGUGAGGAAUAUUGCGCAAUGGGGGCAACCCUGACGCAGCGACGCCGCGUGAGUGAGGAGGGCCUUCGGGUCGUAAAGCUCUGUCAAAGGGAAAGAAGUGCAUGAUGGCUAAUACCUGUCAUGUUUGACGGUACCCUUAAAGGAAGCACCGGCUAACUCCGUGCCAGCCGCCGCAGUAAUAC
rnacentral:rRNA from 1 species